UACGUAGGGGGCAAGCGUUGUCCGGAUUUAUUGGGCGUAAAGAGCUCGUAGGCGGCUUGUUGCGUCGGCUGUGAAAACCCGCGGCUUAACCGCGGGCUUGCAGCCGAUACGGGCGGGCUGGAGUUCGGUAGGGGAGACUGGAAUUCCGGGUGUAGCGGUGGAAUGCGUAGAGAUCCGGAAGAACACCGGUGGCGAAGGCGGUCUGCUGGGCAGUGGCUCGCAAGGGCCAAUAGCCGACACUGAGGCGCGACAGCGUGGGGAG
rnacentral:rRNA from 1 species